AUUUAAAUAGUUUAAAUAAAAUAAAGAUUUGUGGUGUCUUAGAUAUUAGUUGAUAAUUUUAAAUU
rnacentral:tRNA from 1 species